AUUGAACGCUGGCGGCAUGCUUUACACAUGCAAGUCGAGCGGUAACAGGCCUUCGGGUGCUGACGAGUGGCGAACGGGUGAGUAAUGCAUCGGAACGUACCCAGAGGUGGGGGAUAACGCAGCGAAAGCUGUGCUAAUACCGCAUGUGAUCUGAGGAUGAAAGCGGGGGACCGAGCAGCAAUGUUUGGCCUCGCGCCUUUGGAGCGGCCGAUGUCAGAUUAGCUAGUUGGUGGGGUAAAGGCCUACCAAGGCGACGAUCCGUAGCUGGUCUGAGAGGACGACCAGCCACACUGGGACUGAGACACGGCCCAGACUCCUACGGGAGGCAGCAGUGGGGAAUUUUGGACAAUGGGCGCAAGCCUGAUCCAGCAAUGCCGCGUGCGGGAAGAAGGCCUUCGGGUUGUAAACCGCUUUUGGCAGGAACGAAACGGUGUCCGCUAAUACCGGGCGCUAAUGACGGUACCUGCAGAAUAAGCACCGGCUAACUACGUG
rnacentral:rRNA from 1 species